rnacentral:lncRNA from 1 species
AGAUCUGAAGAGGGACGAGGGCUUUUUUGGAUGUCCCCCCUCACCCCACCCCUUCCCGCUCGGGCCUGGGCCGUUUGAUCACCUCCGCAGGUCCCCGGUGCUCUGGGCUCCCCGUGACAAUAGCUCAUAUUCACCGGCACCCCGGGCCCCCUCCCUCGCCCCGUCCGCACGCGGCGCGGGAGAAGAUGCUUUUGUUGGGUAGCGUCCCCUGGCCUUUGUGCUCCAAACAGGACAAUGGCCUGCAUUGUGCCAGGGCCCGGACCCCGGAGAUGGAGCUUUGAAGGCGGGAUUGGCAGGGGACAGCAGUUUCUUUCUCCUUUCCAGGUUCAAAGGGAUGAGAGGAGUGGGCCGGGGUGGGAUGCGAUGGGCGAGGGCAAAGGGCUCGUCCCCUCCUGCCACCGCGUCCCUGACCCGCAUGGGCACCGCCGCGCGGAGCCGUGCCCAGCCCCAUGGUCCCCUCUCCUCUUAACGUGCUCAUGAGCGCAGGAGCCAGCCGGGACGUGAUGGUCAGGGGAUGGCUGGGCAGAGGGGCAUCACCAGAAGAAUGGCAAGGAGACAUUUGCUGUGGGAGGAUUUCAUCUCCUGCGCUCCCGUUGUCCCCCAGGCAAGGCGAGGAAGGGCGAGGGCAGCGGCGUGGCUGUUGCUCGCUCCCGGAGGCCGUCGGAGCAAAUAGCUCUGGUUCCUUGCACACGAACUAGGCAUCCGCGUUUCCUGCCAAGAGACCUCAUCUUAUGGGAAUCAAUCGCCAUGUCCCGAGCAUGCCAAAGCAACACCCUGCCGCAGGGUGCCGCAAACGGGGGCUGAUUCAUUGCCGCCUAACAGACAGGGGUAAUAAUUGCCAAGCACUUCUCCUGUAAAUAUCAUUAAUAACUCAUAUCAACUCCUUUUUAAAAGGGCAGCCUGAUAUGCAGGGAGCCCUUUGAAACGGAACCGCGUGACAUGGCAGGAACACGGCCAGGCCACCGCUGCACUCGGUGGUCCCCGCCGCCGGGCCAGCCCAGGGCACAGCACCCGAGGGUCCCAGGCAGGGGUCCCGCAGGCACAACGCAUACAGGGAGAGGAAACGGAGUUUCUGCUGCAGAGGCAUUGCUAGCAUCGCAACACUGCCUGUACGAGCAACCAGUGCUACAGGGGACUUCUCUUAUGUCACCGAGCAAGCUCAAAGGGAGGGCUGGCGGCUCCCCUUCGCCAGAGCCACCAUUCCAAAGUCCCGGUGGGUGUGAUCAGGGAGCCGCGAGGCCUUGCACUCCCAGGAGACCAGCCCCGUACAGCCACCGAUGGUCCUUUGGCGUUUCUUGCAACGGGAGGUGCAGUCCCGGAGUCCUGGGCAAACUCCAGUUUCGUGUAACUAUAAAUAAACCUCCGAUUCGGCCCCUCUCCGCUCCAGCCACACUCGCCACAGGCCGCCCCGGCUGCUCUGCCAGGAUGCGGCCCCCAGCAGCCCUGCCAGGGCCAUGUGCAGGGUGCGGGCGAGAAUUUGGGAGCAGCGGGGCUGCCACAAUGUGGGGAAGCACCGGGGGAUGUGAAGGCACCGCGGGGUCUUCCCCGAACCCAGCACCGAGCCCUGGGUGCACAAGCUGCUGAGCUGCUUAUCUCCGGGCCUGAUAAGAGCAUACCAAGCACCAGGAUGUGUGGAUUUAUUUGCAGAUGAUUAAUAUUAGCAGAUAUAUUGCAUUUAAUGAGGGUAAUAAUUCAGUGAUAAUUUACUGCUGGGAAUGAUGGGAAAGCUCCCCUGGAGCCCCGAGUCAGUGGGAGAAAGGCGCCGCGGCCCCCGGCGCAGAGUGGGCUCGUUCCUGGGGCUGCUGCCGCUGGUGGGACCCGUGGGCACCCCCCACCCAUCCCUCCCUCCCUCCAUCCCACCCCCAUCCCUCCGACCUGCUGCUGGGGUUUAUUUUUGCUUUCAGAGAGCCUAGCUAAGGGAACAGGGCUUGUGCGGGGGAUGGAGAUGCUGCAGGUGGAGCGGGGCAGCCGCUGCGGUCAGCGGGGAGAAGGUGGGGGUUCUCCUGGGCCUGGAGGUGCAGAAGGGCUGAAACCUGGCUUCAACUCUGCUCCGGGGACACCUGAAUCAGGCGGGGGCAAUCCUGCCUCCCUGUUUGACCCUUUAGGAGCUUUUCAAAUCACUGAUGUACCUCAGCCAGGGAAAAAAAGCAGAUAUCUGGGCUGCCAAACUCCUACAAGGGUCAGCAAUGAGUAGAGAAGGAAAAGCUGGGCAAGCUGGAGAACCAGCACCAGGCGUUUUGGUUCCUGCUGCUCAGAAAUGUAAAGGACGGGUAUAAAGCAGAGAUCUCCAGGCGAAAGAGAAGGCUGCGGGAAUGCCUGCAGCGCGCAGCGAGGAGCGGGCCAGCCCGGCUGCUCCCGGAGCGGGGCGGUGCGCGGGGCCGGCCGGCUGGGUGCCGCGGGCGCACCAUGUCCUCGGCGGUGUCGGAGCGGGCUGCGGCGCCCUGCGGUGCAGCGUUCCGGGCCGUUAGGAAGACGGAUGGCUGUUACUGGGAUUUUUCAGGCUUAUCUUUUCCACUGCUGUGGCUGUUCUCGUGGCACGGGAGGGUAGAGCCACGGAUCCCUGGUUUGCCCGGUGGUGCCGGUGGCCCGCGGUGCCGGCGUGGCGAGCAGUGUCACCCACAGGGCCGGGUGUCACUGCAGGGAGCCGGCUGGAGCAGAGACAUCCCAGGGCUCAUUGUCACCGUUCCCUGCCAGGCCAGGAAUGCAGCGCUGGAGCCUGGCCACAUUCUCUGGUGGAGUUUCCUCGUACACAGACUUGGCUGAGCCACCCGGCGGCAGCCGCUGACUCCGCGGUGCCAGGCGAUGGAGACGUGGGUCUCGCUUGAACGGCGGCCGCCAGCUUCCAGCCUGUCCCAGGGCUCCCCUUCCCUGCAGGGCCAGCAGCUGGCACGGGGGUCAAAGGCUUUAUCUGGGGAGGAAUGAGGAACACAAUGUCCUAGAGGGAGAGAGCGGGAUUAUUUACAGCAUUUACAGCACCAAAAUAAAGUAGGGAAUGCAGCAUGGUGCUGGGAGGCU